GAUGAACGCUAGCUACAGGCUUAACACAUGCAAGUCGAGGGGCAGCAUGAACUUAGCUUGCUAAGUUUGAUGGCGACCGGCGCACGGGUGAGUAACACGUAUCCAACCUUUCGUUUACUCAGGGAUAGCCUUUCGAAAGAAAGAUUAAUACCUGAUAGUAUGGUGAGAUUGCAUGAUAACACCAUUAAAGAUUUAUUGGUAAACGAUGGGGAUGCGUUCCAUUAGGUAGUAGGCGGGUAACGGCCCACCUAGUCUUCGAUGGAUAGGGGUUCUGAGAGGAAGGUCCCCACAUUGGAACUGAGACACGGUCCAAACUCCUACGGAGGCAGCAGUGAGGAAUAUUGGUCAAUGGGCGAGAGCCUGAACCAGCCAAGUAGCGUGAGGGAUGAAGGCUCUAUGGGUCGUAAAACCUCUUUAUAUGGGAAUAAAGUUUCCACGUGUGGAAUUUUGUAUGUACCAUAU
rnacentral:rRNA from 1 species